GAUGAACGCUGGCGGCGUGCCUAACACAUGCAAGUCGAGCGUGAUUUAUGAGGACGAAACUUCGGUCUAGGAAUCAUAAUGAAAGCGGCGGACGGGUGAGUAACGCGUAGGCAACCUGCCCUUAACACAGGGAUAGCCUCGGGAAACCGGGAUUAAAACCUGAUGACGCCAAGGAGUCACAUGGCUUCUUGGCCAAAGAUUUAUCGGUUAAGGAUGGGCCUGCGUCUGAUUAGUUUGUUGGUGGGGUAACGGCCUACCAAGACGACGAUCAGUAGCCGACCUGAGAGGGUGAUCGGCCACAUUGGAACUGAGACACGGUCCAAACUCCUACGGGAGGCAGCAGUGGGAAUAUUGCACAAUGGGCGAAAGCCUGAUGCAGCAACGCCGCGUGAGCGAUGAAGGCCUUUGGGUCGUAAAGCUCUGUCCUUGGGGAAGAAAAAAAUGACGGUACCCAAGGAGGAAGCCCCGGCUAACUACGUGCCAGCCGCCGCGGUAAAAC
rnacentral:rRNA from 1 species